AUGGGACGCUUCAAUACUGACAUGGUGUGAAGAGUCUAUUGAGCUAAUUGGUAGUCCUCCGGCCCCUGAAUGCGGCUAAUCCUAACUGCGGAGCAGAUACCCACACGCCAGUGGGCAGUCUGUCGUAAUGGGCAACUCUGCAGCGGAACCGACUACUUUGGGUGUCCGUGUUUCCUUUUAUUCUUAUAUUGGCUGCUUAUGGUGACAAUUAAAAGAUUGUUACCAUAUAGCUAUUGGAUUGGCCAUCCAGUG
rfam:Echovirus type 30 partial ORF1 gene for polyprotein, isolate 89T2090